rnacentral:rRNA from 1 species
AGUGAACGCUGGCGGUAGGCCUAACACAUGCAAGUCGAACGGCAGCACAGUAAGAGCUUGCUCUUACGGGUGGCGAGUGGCGGACGGGUGAGGAAUACAUCGGAAUCUACUUUUUCGUGGGGGAUAACGUGGGGAAACUUACGCUAAUACCGCAUACGGCCUACGGGUGAAAGCAGGGGAUCUUCGGACCUUGCGCGAUUGAAUGAGCCGAUGUCGGAUUAGCUAGUUGGCGGGGUAAAGGCCCACCAAGGCGACGAUCCGUAGCUGGUCUGAGAGGAUGAUCAGCCACACUGGAACUGAGACACGGUCCAGACUCCUACGGGAGGCAGCAGUGGGGAAUAUUGGACAAUGGGCGCAAGCCUGAUCCAGCCAUACCGCGUGGGUGAAGAAGGCCUUCGGGUUGUAAAGCCCUUUUGUUGGGAAAGAAAAGCAGCAGGUUAAUACCCCGCUGUUCGGACGGUACCCAAAGAAUAAGCACCGGCUAACUUCGU